UUGCUUCUCUUGAGAGCGGCGGACGGGUGAGUAAUGCCUAGGAAUCUGCCUGGUAGUGGGGGAUAACGUUCGGAAACGGACGCUAAUACCGCAUACGUCCUACGGGAGAAAGCAGGGGACCUUCGGGCCUUGCGCUAUCAGAUGAGCCUAGGUCGGAUUAGCUAGUUGGUGGGGUAAUGGCUCACCAAGGCGACGAUCCGUAACUGGUCUGAGAGGAUGAUCAGUCACACUGGAACUGAGACACGGUCCAGACUCCUACGGGAGGCAGCAGUGGGGAAUAUUGGACAAUGGGCGAAAGCCUGAUCCAGCCAUGCCGCGUGUGUGAAGAAGGUCUUCGGAUUGUAAAGCACUUUAAGUUGGGAGGAAGGGUUGUAGAUUAAUACUCUGCAAUUUUGACGUUACCGACAGAAUAAGCACCGGCUAACUCUGUGCCAGCAGCCGCGGUAAUACAGAGGGUGCAAGCGUUAAUCGGAAUUACUGGGCGUAAAGCGCGCGUAGGUGGUUUGUUAAGUUGGAUGUGAAAUCCCCGGGCUCAACCUGGGAACUGCAUUCAAAACUGACUGACUAGAGUAUGGUAGAGGGUGGUGGAAUUUCCUGUGUAGCGGUGAAAUGCGUAGAUAUAGGAAGGAACACCAGUGGCGAAAGCGACCACCUGGACUAAUACUGACACUGAGGUGCGAAAGCGUGGGGAGCAAACAGGAUUAGAUACCCUGGUAGUCCACGCCGUAAACGAUGUCAACUAGCCGUUGGAAGCCUUGAGCUUUUAGUGGCGCAGCUACGCAUUAAGUGACGCUGGGGAGUACGGCCGCAAGUUUAAACUC
rnacentral:rRNA from 1 species